rnacentral:lncRNA from 1 species
AUAAUAUAAUUAUAAAUCUAAACUAGGAAUGUAAGAAAUUCAUUUUAAUUUCAACUGAGUACUUUGAUGAAUACAUUUCAGCUGGAUAGGAAAAGAAUAAAAGAACAUGUAUGAAAUUAUGGGAAAAUAUUGUCAAAUAUUGUGUUUAAACAGUAAGGUAUAAUCAGAAAUUACAUGUUUAGGCUUUCUCUAACUGGAACUUCUUGUCUUACUACAUGCAAAUCUAUUAUUCAAUUUUUCCUUAGAGAAUAUAGGGGUUGUCUAUUGUGCUACACUAUGAUAUUUUAUUUCUAAGGCUUGAAAAAAGUUACAAAUAGCAAAUAUAGUCCAAUCUCUGAUAAUAAUUAUCAAGAAAUCUGAUACUCCCAAAGUUAGAGACUAAUAGAGGUUCACAUAACAGCUCACUAUCAGUAGUCUUCUAAUAGUUCACAAUCUAUGUUUGUCAAAGCAUGUCUUUCUAGUGUAUAUUAGUCAAGGUUCUCCAGAGAAUGACAGAACCAGUGAGGGUGUGUGUGUGUGUGUGUGUGUGUGUGUGUGUGUGUGUGUGUGUGUGAAGGAAAAGGGGAGGGAGAGAAAGAGAGAUUUUUUUUUAAGGAAUUGGCUCACGAAAUUAUGGGUGCUGGCAACUCUGAAAUCUGCAGGGCAGGGCUGUAAGCUGGAGGUGGAGGGAAGAGGUGAUUUAGGAGAAGUCAGAAAGAGAAAGACAAAUAUCAUAUGAUAUCACUUAUAUCUGGAAUCUAAUAUAAUUUGGAGAACAGACUUGUUUUGUUAGAGAGAGGGAAGGGAGGGGAAUGACUGGGAAUCUGGGGUUAAUAGAUGCCUACCAUGGCAUUUGGAAUGGAUAAACAAUGAGAUCCUACUGAAUAGCACUGGGAACUAUACCUAGUCACUUGUGAUGGAGCAUGAUGGAGGAUAAUGUGAGAAAAAGAAUGCAUAUAAAUAUGUGUGACUGGGUCACUUUGCUGUAUAGUGGAAAAUUGACAGAACACUGAAAACCAACUAUAAUGAAAAAAAAUAAUUUAAAAAAUUUUUUAAAAAGUUAAUCUCAUUUAGAAAGUACCUUCACAGCAAUAUCUAGAUGGAUGCUUGACAAAAUAUUUGGGUACCAUGGCCUAGUCAACUUGACACAUAAAAUUAACCAUCAAAUGGUGACGAAAGGCUAGAUUUAGAAACAAAAAAAUAAAAUCAGAUGCUAUCAACAUUUUAAUGUGCAACCAUCCAAAGCUUUAAAUUAAACCCAAUUUCUAUAGCUAUGUUAUUUUGCACUGUAGGCAUAGAAGUAUGGAAAGUUGUAAGGCUGGUUAGCUUGAACAAUAGCUAAAAAUUCUGAUUGCAAUAUUAAUUUUACUUAUUCUUCUUAGCAGAAAAUUCAUUUUCUGCAAACUGAUUUUCACUGAGGUUGCAUUUUUCAGUUCCAUGUUAUACAUAUUUAGUCUUCCAGAAUGUAGUUUUAUCUUGUCUAAAAGGCCUUUUUUUUUUUUAACAAGCUCCAGAGAAUUCCAACAGGGCAAAAAGUGGUCAGUGGAACAGAUUGCACCACCAGAAUACAUUAAUUUAUUACUGCAGUCUUCAUUUGAAAAUGUGUGUUUAAUGACCUAGGAAAAUGUUGCAUGUAUCCAAGCAUAAGAAUAAUAAUUUUCUGGCACACAAGUUUCAUGCUACCAUACUAACCCUAAAACAAAUGAUUCCAUCAUGUACAUGGAAAACAAACAAACAAACAAACAAACAAACAGAUAAGUGUAUGAAUUUAAUUAUAAAGAAAUUAAAAUUUGAUUUCAAAUCCCAUAAUGUUCUACCUCACAAUUUUGAUCACUUGGAAUACAGUAACUUGAAAGAGAUCUUAGAACAUUUCUAACCUAUGCUCCCGAUCUUUUAGAUGAACAAAUCACUGCCCUUGGUAAAGGUCAAACAGCUUGUUAGGCAUGAACCAUGUCAGAAAACUCUAUGCUUUGUGUUCUCUCCACUAUAAUAGAUGGCUUCCUAGUGGGGAAAGUUCUUGAUCCAAGAUUAUAUUAAAUCAACUUUGUAGAAAUAUUCCCUAGUAAAAAAUCAUGCAAUCUGGCAAUUAACCAACUAACUAAUGGUAGAAAAAGAACUUUCAUAUAUUCUCACAAUAAACUUUUUAUGAUGGAAACAGUGUGGAAUGUUUCCUGGGGAACUACUUUAAUAGGUCAUGGAAUGGCAUUAGGGAAGGUUCGACAGCAUAACAGUACAAUGGUUUGCAACCAGGUGAAGUGUAAAAAAAAAAUCACUCACUAGGAAAGACACUAAUAUUCUAGUGUUUUCAGUAGUAUAAUGAAAACAUAAUAUUUUGCUUCCAUUUAUAAUAUGCUGAAUAACAAAUAUGUAAAUAUAUAAUUCCCUUAACAAAUAAAACCUAAAAUAGUCUCUGAAAUAAAGAUGGGUCCUCCAUAAAUACUUGAUGGGGUAGAAAUGGUUUUGAAGAAUUAAAGUUAUGAUAAUGCUAUCACUUUCUUUUUUAAUAAGUCUGGAAAACUAAAUAGAUUAAACAUAUACUCAUUAAAUUUCACUGCUAUUCUGUUAUACUAGUGGCAUCCCCAUUCACAAUCUAAGUGGACAGGUCAGGAUUAAUUAACUCUGCAUGCUUGGUUUUAUGCCUUUUUGCUUCUAGUCCAUUUUUAUGCCCUAAAAAUAUCUGUGGAAUAGGUAAAAAGAGCUAGACAAUAUUGACAUGCCCCUCCCCGCAACAAGAGGAGGAGUUCUGUGAUAACAUCAAUCUGGCUAUGUCAUCAAGAGUUAAUGAUUUUCAUCCCUACCAUUUUGCUAGGGUGGCCUUUAGAUCUGUGCUCUGUUUUCACUCUUUAUAAAGACCAUAAAGCUCCCUCUUGAGAUAAGAAGAGGGCUGUAGAUAAGAUGAGUUCUAACACCCCCUUAGAGCAAGAGAUUCUAUGUAGAAGUUGGUUGUGUGACUUGUUUCUCUAUGUUAGUAAGGGUUAGAUGGUUACUUGGGUGAAUAUAUUUCAUGACGGAAAUACAGUCAAUAUUAUCAUUACCGGAAUGUAUGAAGACUAUAUUUUUCUUUGGGUUUUAAAAGCAUUUAGAAAAAUAAGUUGGACAGGAUGAAAAAAAUCACACAGUAGAUUUUACAGAGUUUUCUACCCAAUUUAUACAAGCAUGUUAUCACUGUAUAAAAUAAAGUGACACAGGUCUAAGUGUGGAUGUGUUUAAUCAUCAGCCCAUGUUCAUUAAAAGUCUGAAAAAAUAAAUCCACCCAUGGUAACUAGAGACAAAGACCCAGUCACUCAUCCAGUCCGAUUUUUCUAAUGCCUCAUUUGUCUCUUGGUUCUUUUAAAUGAUUAAAGGGUCUACCCUACAUUUCUCAGUUUCACAUUACAUCAGAACAAUGGCCCAUACCAUUUCCGGAAGACUUCCUCCUAAUAUUGCCCUGUCUACUGAUGUUGCUGACUAUAUUACUUCAUGACCUGAAUACAGAUGCAUGCUAUAUGUGCCUCUAUUGGAAGAAAACUUGGAGAUCAUAAUCCAUAAUUUCACAUUCAAAAAAAAAAAGAGGUUCAGUGGAAUGACUCAUUUGGUCAUUCUUUUAAUUAACAGGGGCAGCCGAAAUAGAACCCAGUUCUUGUAAAUUUCUGGCAGAAAACUUCCAGAAUAUAAACCUAGAAAUAGAUUUAGAAUGAGGCUGAGAGAUUUACUGAUGGACACCUCUCUGCAGCUCCUGCUCUGUCAACCUUGGAUUGUAAUUUUAAAGCCACAUUCAUUGACAAAGUGCUUCCCAGACACAGGGGCAAAUCAGAUUAUAAAGAACAGUAAUUACUUCUAUAGGCAUUGGUAACACAAAUACCAAAGCUGGCUCACCUUAAAAACAAUAUGAAAAGUUCUAUAAAUAUUUAGAUAGGUGGAUAAAAACAUUCUGCAAAUAGUUUGUGGGGUUUCUUUAUUUUGAAUAUAAACUGCAUGUAAAAGAGAAAUUUAUCUCUAUUCUAUUCCUCAGUGUUUCAUACCAUAUUUGUCAAAUAGCUAGUAAAAUACAGAGUACAAUUUUUUUUCAAUUGUGAACAAUAUACAGAAGAGAUAGCAGAUUAUCCUACCCAUCAGAAAGCUACCAAUAGCUUGUAUUUUUAUUUUAUUUUCUUUCAUUUCAUUUUAUUUUAUUUUGGCUGUAUCCUUAGCAUGCGGAAGUUCCCAGGCCAGAGAUCAAACCUGUGCCAUAGCAGAGAUCUGGGUCACUGCAGUGACAAUGCUGGAUCCUUAAACUGCUGCACUACAAGGGAACACCUUAAUUUUUUAAAUUAGCUUUAUUGAAGUAUGAUUGAUAUGCAAAAAAACUCUGAAUAUAUUUAAUGUAUACAACUUGAUGAGUUUGGACAUAGGCAAACACCCAUAAAAUUAUCACCACAAUCAAGGUAGUAAACACAUCCAUCAUCUUCAAAAGUUUCCUCCUGUCCUUUUGCUGUGGUUGCUGUUUUUUUUUGCAGUAAGAGCACUUAACAUGAGAUCUGCCCUCUUAACAAGUUCUGAAGUGUACAAUGCUGAAUGGUUAACUACAGCCACUAUGUUGUACAGCAUUUCUAGAACUUACUCAUCUUGCACAACUGAAACUUUAUGCUUCCUGAACAACUCUCCAUUUUUCCCUCCUUCCAGCCCCUGGCAACCACCACUUUACUCUUUUCCAAUGAGUCUAUUUAAGAUACUUCAUGUAAGUAGAAACAUGCAAUAUUUGUUCUUUUGUGACUGGCUUAUUUCACUUAGCGUGAUAUCCUCCAGGAACUCAACACUGAAAACCACUCACUAAAUGCCUGUGGUAUGUGUCAGGGAGUUAGAAGGGCAGGAGAUGAUAAAUGAAACUACUUUGGUAAAAUAUUGACAAUUGUUGUUGCUUAGUUGUGGAUAAACAGGGGUUAAUUUUACUAUUUUUUUCUACCUCUGAGAUUGUC